rfam:Ricinus communis cultivar Hale ctg_1100012329139, whole genome shotgun sequence.
GGGUGCGAUCAUACCAGCACUAAUGCACCGGAUCCCAUCAGAACUCCGAAGUUAGACGUGCUUGGGCGAGAGUAGUACUAAGAUGGGUGACCUUUUGGGAAGUCCUCGUGUUGCACCCU